rnacentral:hammerhead_ribozyme from 1 species
AGCUAGCUGACGAGUCCCAAAUAGGACGAAAUGUGCGUUAUCCUGGAU